AGUGAACGCUGGCGGUAGGCCUAACACAUGCAAGUCGAACGGCAGCACAGUAAGAGCUUGCUCUUACGGGUGGCGAGUGGCGGACGGGUGAGGAAUACAUCGGAAUCUACUUUUUCGUGGGGGAUAACGUAGGGAAACUUACGCUAAUACCGCAUACGACCUACGGGUGAAAGCAGGGGAUCUUCGGACCUUGCGCGAUUGAAUGAGCCGAUGUCGGAUUAGCUAGUUGGCGGGGUAAAGGCCCACCAAGGCGACGAUCCGUAGCUGGUCUGAGAGGAGGAUCAGCCACACUGGAACUGAGACACGGACCAGAGUCCUAAGGGAGGCAGCAGUGGGGAAUAUUGGACAAUGGGCGCAAGCCUGAUCCAGCCAUACCGCGUGGGUGAAGAAGGCCUUCGGGUUGUAAAGCCCUUUUGUUGGGAAAGAAAAGCAGCAGGUUAAUACCCCGCUGUUCUGACGGUACCCAAAGAAUAAGCACCGGCUAACUUCGUG
rnacentral:rRNA from 1 species